rnacentral:rRNA from 1 species
AUUGAACGCUGGCGGCAUGCCUUACACAUGCAAGUCGAACGGUAACGCGGGGGCAACCCUGGCGACGAGCGGCGAACGGGUGAGUAAUACAUCGGAACAUAUCCAGUAGCGGGGGAUAACCUAUCGAAAGAUGGACUAAUACCGCAUACGAUCUACGGAUGAAAGCAGGGGACCGCAAGGCCUUGCACUAUUGGAGUGGCCGAUGUCGGAUUAGCUAGUUGGUGGGGUAAAAGCCUACCAAGGCGACGAUCCGUAGCUGGUCUGAGAGGACGAUCAGCCACACUGGAACUGAGACACGGUCCAGACGCCUACGGGAGUCAGCAGUGGGGAAUUUUGGACAAUGGGCGCAAGCCUGAUCCAGCCAUGCCGCGUGAGAGAAGAAGGCCUUCGGGUUGUAAAGCUCUUUCGGUGAAGACGAAACGGUUAGCGCUAAUAACGCUGGCUAAUGACAGUACUCACAGAAGAAGCACCGGCUAACUACGUGCCAGCCGCCGCCGUAA